UCCCAAGGGCCUGACACUCUUUGAUAGAGAAAGAUAGUCUUAUUGCGAUUCCUAUAAGAGGAAAGAGAAAAUAGUGCAAUGCUUUGUCUUUAUCACCGACCGGGUUUUUUUUCAUGGUCGGGUUAUGGCAGCUUAGGAAGGAGGCUGAUGGCGAUAUACAGAAAUUUAUAAGAGUGAAAGAGACAAAAUCCCGCAAGAUGCCAUACAUUAAACUGUCAAUCAUAUUGUCAAGAGUGCUAGUAAACAAUGUGGUUUUCUUAUUGUAGAAGUUUUAUAAAGUGAAUGAUUGUCUUUAUUAAGUAUUUAAUGGAGGUGUAAGAUGUUUUUACGUACAAUUAACAUGGUGGGGUGUUCAGUGGUUGCCUACAAAAGCAAUAGCUUGCGAAAAUAAGCGGGUGUAACAUUUCAUGCCUUUCCGACGGAGGAUGAAAUUGUUAAAGAAUGGAUUGCGGGAACUGGAAAAUCAAAUUGGAUGCCUCACAAAUACUCGCGUAUUUGUUCCAAACAUUUUGAACAACAUUGUGUCCGCAAACUGGGCAAACGAACUUUCAUCGAAAAGUUUUCUUUUCCAACCUUGUUCAUACACGAGAGGAGAGAGAAAAUUCUUUCUUCAUCAUGUCAUGGAAAUCGUCCAUUCGUGCACGUCGUCGUCGUGGCAGUCUCAACAGCAUUCUGAAGCUAUUAUUGAACUUCAUAUAAUUGAUCCACAGGUUACAAGUGUAUGUGUAAAUAAAGUUUUCUUGACCCCCACAGUAUGUACAACGCGCAACACGUAAGAUUUUUUAUUUAAACAUAAAUAUUCGGUUUUAAGUAACAGUUU